GAGGGGUAUUAGGAGCUUGCUCCUAAGAGACCGGCGCACGGGUGCGUAACGCGUAUGCAAUCUACCUUAUACAGGGGAAUAGCCCAGAGAAAUUUGGAUUAAUGCCCCAUGGUAUUAUAGAGUGGCAUCACUUUAUAAUUAAAGUUCCAACGGUAUAAGAUGAGCAUGCGUCCCAUUAGUUAGUUGGUAAGGUAACGGCUUACCAAGACAAUGAUGGGUAGGGGUCCUGAGAGGGAGAUCCCCCACACUGGUACUGAGACACGGACCAGACUCCUACGGGAGGCAGCAGUGAGGAAUAUUGGACAAUGGGCGCAAGCCUGAUCCAGCCAUGCCGCGUGCAGGAAGACGGUCCUAUGGAUUGUAAACUGCUUUUAUACAGGAAGAAACAACUCUACGUGUAGAGUCUUGACGGUACUGUAGGAAUAAGGAUCGGCUAACUCCGUGCCAGCAGCCGCGGUAAUACGUAGGAUCCAAGCGUUAUCCGGAAUCAUUGGGUUUAAAGGGUCCGUAGGCGGUCUUAUAAGUCAGUGGUGAAAUCUCCUAGCUCAACUAGGAAACUGCCAUUGAUACUGUAAGACUUGAAUUUUUGUGAAGUAACUACAAUAUGUAGUGUAGCGGUGAAAUGCUUACAUAUUACAUGGAAUACCUAUUGCGAAGGCACGUUACUAACAAACGAUUGACGCUGAAGGACUAAAGCGUGGGG
rnacentral:rRNA from 1 species